rnacentral:misc_RNA from 1 species
AGAAUUUCCAAAUCACAACUUGUUUUCUUCUAUUGAUCUCAUGGGAAAAAAGGGAAGGAGACUCGUCAACUUUUUCAUUAUUUUUCAUUUUUACCUUUUCUAUUGAAUCAUAGGCAAAUGGUUAGUUAUUAUAGUGUGUGAUGAGACUUGAAACCAUUUCAUUAAAUCUGAGGCUGGCUGCAGGGCACAUAAUGCAGUUUGCAUUAUUGUUAGUUGGUAG